UUUGGAUAACUUCAGGAAACUGGGGCUAAUACCGGAUAGGAGCUCCUGCUGCAUGGUGGGGGUUGGAAAGUUUCGGCGGUUGGGGAUGGACUCGCGGCUUAUCAGCUUGUUGGUGGGGUAGUGGCUUACCAAGGCUUUGACGGGUAGCCGGCCUGAGAGGGUGACCGGCCACAUUGGGACUGAGAUACGGCCCAG
rnacentral:rRNA from 1 species